UGAACAUCCACUUCUGUUUUUACCAGGCAC
rnacentral:piRNA from 1 species